GAUGGAUGUAGGUUCAUCCAUACUACUCACAAAGGAGGGCCUGAGAGACAAGAAUGAGUGGUUUCUAUCUGGUGGAGACACUUCCUUGACGUUGUCCCUCUUGCUUGAAAUGAUUAAAACUGGCCCAAGGAGUGAAAAACAGGUAAGACAAUUUUUAUGCCUGAAGGAAAUGAAAAUUACCCCGAAAGGGGCACGCGCAUAUACCCACACUCGCUUGGAGGGUGGAAAUAUACAGGAAAGAAAGAGAGUUUUAAAGGAAAAAAGAAACUGCUGAUGGGAAGGUUAAAAUCUAAAAUGAUGCGGUAAGAAGGGCUUCGGUGUUAAAGAAGCAAUAAAAAAGGUGGGGGGAGGACAAGUGUUUUACCCCACCGAAUUGGUCACCCAGACAAAGAAUCCUGUCUUCCCACCGCAUCUGAGAAGACACUUGUAAAAAGCACAUCUGAAAGGUGGAGUUAAAACCCAAAAUGUAGAAGUUGGUUUAGGGAACGUUAAACCUUGUAACGGGCUGUCUGGCCUGCACUCCUAGCUCCAGAAGAGACGGCGCUGCGCGUCCUCACCAGGGUCUCGUCGUCGCCGGGGUCCGCGCUCGCUGCGAGUUUCCCUGGGGGACACGCUGGUCCUGGCACCGUGGGCCGGCCGCCCGGCCAGAACACACCACUGCCACAGCACUGGGCCGCGCCGAGGUCUCGGAAAGUGGGCCCGUGGUCGGCCGGGCUCCCCCUCCUGGGAAGGCCGCGCGCCGCCAGAGCGGGGACGCAGCGCAGAGCGCGCGAGGGGGCCGCGGUGGGCCGCGGUGGGCCGGUACCCGCCCGGGCUUGCGCGGGGAAUCACUCCGGCGCGGCGGGGCCAGACCUCCGUCGGGGGGCCUCCAAGCGCGCGCGGGGAAGGCGGAGCCUCGGAAGCCUGCGGCGCGCCCAGCGCCCGGAUAUCUGCAGUUUUCGCAGCCUCCGGCUCCGCCUGGGGAGAUGCGCUGCCUGGAGACCCCGCGCGCCUGGCUGGACCAGGCUCCCCUGAAAACAUUUUACUCUGUUCCCCACCCUUCCUGCGCUGGAGACGGCGAGGUAUCCUUUUGGGGAUUGAACAUUAGAUCAGAGUUGAUUAGCAGAGUCCAGAAACUGGAAGGUUUCUGUAUGUUCUACAAAGACAUACUUAUAUCAGACUGGAGAAGCUCCACUUUCAACAUAUGAGUGGAUAAACAUCAAAGGUAAGAAUUUUUAUUGUCAUCAUUACAGAGUACUUAAUGAACAGUCAUGGAGAUGUUCUUUCAAAUGUAUGAAUAUAGCACAUACAGUACUCCAGCCAUGUGUAUAAAUUCUCAUUAAGAUUAGCCUAUUAAGUGUUGGUCUGUCCCCAGCUCAGACAGAAAAUAACAAGAAUUACCAGACUUUAUCUGUGUAAUGAUUCAUUAACAGUAAUUUAGCUGAUGGCAGUAAGCAUAUUUUAGUUGACCAAGAGCCUAUGGACAUUCACAAAUUGAGAGUUCUUUUAUUUCCUCUGGAAUAUUACAGAAAACACUUUUAAACGUUUAGAUUAAUAAAAUAAUCUGAAAAAGAGAAGGGUGAUUUAACAGACAUCUUUCUGUAUAUGAAAGCAUAUUUACAGAAGUGAGGCUUUCAAAAUGUGCUUCACUUGCCAGGAGGAAUAGGGGUCAGUGGACAGGGUUCCUGCAGCUCCAUCUUUAUUUGUCCCAUAUGUUGGAUUUCAGGAUAGGGUUUUAUUUGAUGAAAGAUUUCUUUGGGCUUAAAAAAUAUUUGAAAACCGCUAUAGAAGAUGUUAGGCACUUCCCCAUCUUCUUUGAAAAACACAAAAACAAAAAACAAAAUACCUUAAAUUGUAGCAGUGGGAUUAAGUUAUCUAAAAUGAAAUUACCAGAUUUUAUCUCUGAAAAAUAUUAUUACAGAGGAAAGCUUAUCAUUUUCUUUUCUCUAAAUCUUUAAAAAUUAUAUAAGUUUUUAAAAAUGUAUUUUGAAUUGCAUAAGAAAAUCUUCUUAUUAUAAAAAUCCUAACAAUGCAAAAAUAUAGAGAAUAAAAAUGGAAUUCCAGCCACUCUAAUUUCAUUUCCUUCCCCAAAGGCAACUACUAUUAACAGACUUUUCCUAUUUAUUUACAUACACAUGUAUAUACAUAAUUGCUCAUAUUCUUGAUCUGUUAUUCUUGAUCUACAAUUUUCUCUCAAGUUUAGAGGAAGGAUUUAGGAGACUGUUCUUUUCAAGUCCACGGUUCUAUGAUUUUGGUGGCAUAUGUCCCUCGUAUUGCAACAUGAAGCUGAAAUUAAGCCAAU
ensembl:lncRNA